rnacentral:rRNA from 1 species
ACGGUGGAUCACUUGGCUCGUGGGUCGAUGAAGAACGCAGCUAAUUGCGCGUCAACUUGUGAACUGCAGGACACUUGAACAUCGA